GACGAACGCUGGCGGCGUGCCUAAUACAUGCAAGUAGGACGCAGUUGCGAACGGGUGAGUAACGCGUAGGGAACUACCUAUUAGAGGGGGAUAAACAUUGGAAACGAUAGCUAAUACCGCAUACUAGUAGAUGGACCUGCGGUGUAUUAUGUAGUAGGUAGGGUAAUGGCCUAACGAGGCAACGAUACAUAGCAGACUUGAGCUGGUGCUCGGUCAAACGGGGACGGAGACAAGGCCCAGACUCCUACGGGAGGCAGCAGUAGGGAAUCUGCGGCAAUGUGGGGAACCCUGACCGAGCAAAGGCGGGUGAGUGAAGAAGGUUUUCGGAUCGUAAAGCUCUGUUGUUAAGGAAGCGGUACUUAACCAGAAAGGGACGGCUAACUACGGGCCAGCAGCCGCGGUAAUAC
rnacentral:rRNA from 1 species